GUCAGUCUUUUUUUUUUUUCUUUCUCGAUGAGGGCUAUGUGUGAUGAGGUUGGAUAGAAGAACUACAACAAAAAUAGGCAUCAAAUUCUCAGUGGUCGUAUUUAGUGACCAAAAUUGAAACUUUUGUAACCACAAUUUGCUCCUCUGUAUCUGUUAGCAGAGUUAGGGCUUUUUUUUUCUUUUUUCUUUUUUUUUUUAAAUUAGAAGUAAAUUAAGUUUUUUGUUUUAAGGAUGAUGUGUCAAUUUUCAAUCCCUUAGAUUAAAUUUCAAUAAAGAGGUGUAUGGAGAGCAAACGUCAAACAUAUUCUAGCUAGCAUAGAAAACCAAAACAUAGCAUCCAAAUCCCAAAUUACCAUCAUAAAUACGAAAGGUUGUUUGUUCAUGGCCAUAAUGCUUUACAAAAGCG
rnacentral:lncRNA from 1 species